UAUGUUUUAGUAUAAGAUGUAUAAAAGUUUUUGAUACUUUAGGAAGUAGUUUAAAUCUACUAAACAUAG
rnacentral:tRNA from 1 species